rnacentral:lncRNA from 1 species
GAAAAUUCUGUGGUGCCUCAGCUGUAUCGGUACAGCCCGUUAUCCAAGGGUCAGUAUUGCAUCUUAAAAAUAAAGGGUUGAGAUUGAAUGACCUGAAGACUUGUUGAGCCCUUUGUUAUUAAAUAUCACGUGACAUACACGUGACUGAGAAAACAAGUGAAAAGCUUCAACGAACGUGCGGAAGCCCUGGCGUGCAUUGGACCUGCUUAUCUCUGGGAUCGAUCUCUCUCUCUUGGAAAUCCAAUCCUCAUCUAUGUCCCCAAAUCAGAAUCUGGGCGUCUCACUUCUGCCGACGCUGAGAUGCAACAGUCAUCGGACAUCGCGUGCACUGGGAGCUGCUUCAUCUUUGCAAUAUAUCUCUCUUUCUCUCUCUCUCAAAUCCAAUCCUCAUCUUUGUCCCCAAGUUGGAAUCUGAUGCAUCUCCUCUCUGCCGACACUGCGAUGCAAGAACCAUCGGAGAGGAGACAGAGUGGGUGAUUCAGUCGAGUUCGACGGGGGUGGUGUGAAAGGCCUUUAUUUGGGUAGAAAUUCAACGACUUAGUAUUGAAUCUGGAGUGAGGAUGUCUGUGUUGCAGAGCCUUUGAUGGGAGAAAAAAUUCAACGCCUUGGACUGAAUCUUGGUGAUUUUUUUUCCCUCUUUUAAUAAUUUUUAAUAUUUUAAUAUUUUAAUAUUUUCUCUUAAUUUCAUCACAGCAUCAGACCCACUGUGAUCCUUUCUCCAUCAAACCCAUGUAAUUUUCGUUUUAUGGAGGAUUUGUUUUCUUCCAUGUAUGAGGUUAUGGAUUUGUGCUUCAAAAUAAGGUAUGAAAUUUUGAACAAUCAGGUUGUUGAUUUUCUUUAAAGUCUUGGAUUCUUGAAUUUUCUUCCUACUUUUUUUUUUUUUUUUCAAUUUGAAAUUUGUUUUAUUACUCAAGAACUCUGGUCAUGAUGAAUCCAAUUGGAGUUUUCGGGCUUGUUAGUGGAGAACUGAGGUUGGCAUCAAAAGAGAAAGAUGAGUUCUUUAACUAAGAAACCUCAUAACUGGUUUUGGUUUUGGCUAUAUUAUUUCUUAUGUGCAAUUGCAUAUAGUUUUUAUGCAAUUGCAUACAGUUUAUGCAAUUU